rnacentral:rRNA from 1 species
CAUGAGAAACGGCUACUAUUUCUAAGGAAAGCAGCAGGCGCGCAAAUUAUUCAAUGGAAACAAUUUUCCGAAAUAGUGACAAAAAAUAUCAAUGCUGGAUACUAUGUAUCUAGUAAUUGGAAUGAGUACAAUUUAAAUCCCUUAACAAGUAACAAUUAGAGGGCAAGUCUGGUGCCAGCAGCCGCGGUAAUUCCAGCUCUAAUAGCGUAUAUUAAUAUUGUUGCAGUUAAAAAGCUCGUAGUUGAAAUUUGGGACUUUAUUAUAUUGGUUUACCUUUUGGUGAACUGUAUGAUGGGUUUCUUCCUACUAGAGUUCGAUUCUGUUCUUAACUGAAUGGAGUAGCUAUCUCUCGGGGUAGUCAGUUGGUUAUUAUAUCUCCACUAAUAAGCAGAGAGGAGUAAAAAUCUUCAAAGUAAGUUAUGUGGGUCAAGGUAUAGUGAUUAAUUGGAGUUCUAGUUCAUUUACUUUGAGAAAAAUUAAGAGUGUUUAAAAGCAGCCUCUU